rnacentral:rRNA from 1 species
GAUGAACGCUAGGCGGGAGGCUUAACACAUGCAAGUCGAGGGGUAGGGGAGCAAUCCCCGAGACCGGCGGACGGGUGCGUAACGCGUAUGCAACUUGCCUUAUACAGGGGGAUAGCCCGUGGAAAACGCGGAUUAAUACCCCAUAUGUCAUUUGGGUCGCAUGGUCUGGAUGAUAAAACUGAGGUGGUAUAAGAUGGGCAUGCGUCUGAUUAGCUGGUUGGUAAGGUAACGGCUUACCAAGGCGACGAUCAGUAGGGGUUCUGAGAGGAUAAUCCCCCACACUGGUACUGAGACACGGACCAGACUCCUACGGGAGGCAGCAGUGAGGAAUAUUGGUCAAUGGGCGCGAGCCUGAACCAGCCAUUCCGCGUGAAGGAAGAAGGCCUUAUGGGUUGUAAACUUCUUUUCUGUAAGAAGAAAAGUCCCGACGUGUCGGGAUGUGACGGUAUUAUAGGAAUAAGCAUCGGCUAACUCCGUG